AAAACUUUUUCAAAAUUCCCAGCCUUUACCGCUAAUUCCCCCAAAUCCCCACUCUCCGCGAUUCUAGCUUCCUCCAAUCCCCUAAUUCACCAUGGAAUUAUCAUCUGUUAUCAGUGGUGUGUGAACAUUGGAACAUAACGAGCUCACUCAUGCAUCGUGUGUCUAAUUGACGAAAGUUGAAUCUGGAGUUGCGCAUAGGGUUCUAAUCGGACCAAAGGUUGAAGCUAUAGUGAAUUCAAAAUGUGGAAUCAUCCUUCUCCGACACCGAUUCCCAUAUGGACAGGUUCAAAGAGAAAUAUAAUAGCAUCUCCAUCAGUACAAGAAACAAGGCAACUUUGGGAACAUUUCUACAGUAUAAUCCGGCCGAAUAUAGUGUUCGACGUUUUUUCUUUGUUCUUUGGAUGACUUGGCGAAAUGUUUGAGAAGUUUUGUAUUUUGUUAUGAAUUUGAAUAAAAUGGUAUUGUGUUGUAUGUUGUGUAUACUAUAGGCCUGAAAAUAUCUAUUUAUUUACACUUUAGCAACUGGAUUUAUUGCUAUACAA